rnacentral:rRNA from 1 species
AGAGAGAGACAUGCGCGCAUAUCAAUAAGCGGAGGAAAAGAAACUAACAAGGAUUCCCUUAGUAACGGCGAGUGAAGCGGGAAGAGCUCAAAUUUGAAAUCUUCAAGGGUUUACCUUUACGAAUUGUAGUUUAAAGAAGUGUUUUCUGCUGAGGUUUUGGUAAAAGUUCUUUGGAAUAGGACAUCAUAGAGGGUGAGAAUCCCGUAUUUGACCUUUACUUUCAACUUUGUGAUACACUUUCAAAGAGUCGGAUUGUUUGGGAAUGCAGUCCAAAAUGGGUGGUAAAUUUCAUCUAAAGCUAAAUAUUGGCGAGAGACCGAUAGCGAACAAGUACCGUGAGGGAAAGAUGAAAAGAACUUGAAAGGAGAGUUAAACAGUACGUGAAAUUGUCAAAAGGGAAGCGUUUGACACCAGUGUUGUUUUUCUGAAAAUCAAUUAAAGAACUGUUUAUGCUAAGUUGUUUAGACUUUAUCAGCUAACUGUUUAGUUUUGAGCUUUUCUUUAAUGCACUUUUCAGUUAACAAGUCAACAUCAAUUUCUUUUGCUGUAAAAAAGCUUGAGGAAGGUGGCUUGAGAUUCGUCUUAAGUGUUUAUAGCCUCUUGCCUAUGCAGUCGGAGAGAUUGAGGUCUGCAGCGUAGAUCCUUCGGGGCUAAAUGCAUUUGUGCUAAGUUAUAGCAUUUUAUAGACAACUUGUUGACUAUGAUUUGUCUUGUAGCUUACUCGCUUAUGUUAUUUUACCUACGCUUAGGAUGUUGAGCGCAUGUCUCUCUCU